UACGUAGGGCGCAAGCGUUAUCCGGAAUUAUUGGGCGUAAAGCGCACGUAGGCGGCUUUGCAAGUCGGAUGUGAAAUCCCCUCGGCUUAACCAAGGAAGUGCAUCCGAAACUGCAGAGCUUGAGUACUUAAGAGGAUCGCGGAAUUCCCGGUGUAGAGGUGAAAUUCGUAGAUAUCGGGAGGAACACCAGUGGCGAAGGCGGCGAUCUGGGAAGAUACUGACGCUGAGGUGCGAAAGCGUGGGGGAGCAAACAGG
rnacentral:rRNA from 1 species